rnacentral:rRNA from 1 species
GACGAACGCUGGUGGCGUGCUUAACACAUGCAAGUCGAACGGGAUUUAGUAAACAGAAGCCUCGGUGGAAGAUUACUAAUGAGAGUGGCGAACGGGUGAGUAACGCGUGAGCAACCUGCCUAUGACAGUGGGAUAGCCUCGGGAAACCGGGAUUAAUACCGCAUAAAAUCGUAGAAACACAUGUUUUAACGGUCAAAGAUUUAUCGGUCAUAGAUGGGCUCGCGUCUGAUUAGCUAGUUGGUGAGAUAACAGCCCACCAAGGCGACGAUCAGUAGCCGGUAUGAGAGGAUGAACGGCCACAAUGGAACUGAGACACGGUCCAAACUCCUACGGGAGGCAGCAGUGGGGAAUAUUGCACAAUGGGGGAAAACCUGAUGCAGCGACGCCGCGUGAACGAAGAAGGUAUUCGUAUCGUAAAGUUCUGUCCUAUGGGAAGAUAAUGACAGUACCAUAGAAGAAAGCUCCGGCUAAAUACGUG